rnacentral:tmRNA from 1 species
GGGGCUGAUUCUGGAUUCGACGGGAUUUGCGAAACCCAAGGUGCAUGCCGAGGGGCGGUUGGCCUCGUAAAAAGCCGCAAAAAAAUAGUCGCAAACGACGAAACCUACGCUUUAGCAGCUUAAUAACCUGCUUAGAGCCCUCUCUCCCUAGCCUCCGCUCUUAGGACGGGGAUCAAGAGAGGUCAAACCCAAAAGAGAUCGCGUGGAUGCCCUGCCUGGGGUUGAAGCGUUAAAACGAAUCAGGCUAGUCUGGUAGUGGCGUGUCCGUCCGCAGGUGCCAGGCGAAUGUAAAGACUGACUAAGCAUGUAGUACCGAGGAUGUAGGAAUUUC